rnacentral:rRNA from 1 species
CCUACGGGAGGCUGCAGUGAGGGAUAUUGGUCAAUGGACGAGAGUCUGAACCAGCCAAGUAGCGUGAAGGAUGGCUGCCCUCUGGGUUUUAAACUUCUUUUAUAUGGGAGUAAAACAGGGUAUGCAUACCCUCUUGUAUGUACAAUAUGAUUCCGGAUCGGCUAACUCCGUGCCAGCGGCCGCGGUAAUACGGCGGAUCCGAGCGUUAUCCGGAUUUAUUGGGUGUAAAGGGAGCGUAGGUGGAUUGUGAAGUCAGUUGUGAAAGUUUGCGGCUCAACCGUAAGAUUGCAGUUGAAACUGGCAGGCUUGAGUACAGUAGAGGUGGGCGGAAUUCGUGGUGUAGCGAUGAAAUGCGUAGAUAUCACGAAGAACUCCGAUUGCGAAGGCAGCUCACUGGACUGCAACUGACACUGAGGCUCGAAAGUGUGGGGAUCAAACAGGAUUAGAUACCCCUGUAGUC